GACGAACGCUGGCGGCGUGCUUAACACAUGCAAGUCGAACGGAAAGGCCCUGCUUUUGUGGGGUGCUCGAGUGGCGAACGGGUGAGUAACACGUGAGUAACCUGCCCUUGACUUUGGGAUAACUUCAGGAAACUGGGGCUAAUACCGGAUAGGAGCUCCUGCUGCAUGGUGGGGGUUGGAAAGUUUCGGCGGUUGGGGAUGGGCUCGCGGCUUAUCAGCUUGUUGGUGGGGUAGUGGCUUACCAAGGCUUUGACGGGUAGCCGGCCUGAGAGGGUGACCGGCCACAGUGGGACUGAGAUACGGCCCAGACUCCUACGGGAGGCAGCAGUGGGGAAUAUUGCACGAUGGGCGGAAGCCUGAUGCAGCAACGCCGCGUGCGGGAUGACGGCCUUCGGGUUGUAAACCGCUUUCGCCUGUGACGAAGCGUGAGUGACGGUAAUGGGUAAAGAAGCACCGGCUAACUACGUG
rnacentral:rRNA from 1 species